rnacentral:rRNA from 1 species
GAUGAACGCUGGCGGCGCGCCUAAUACAUGCAAGUCGAGCGAACCGACGAGAAGCUUGCUCCUCUGACCUUAGUGGCGGACGGGUGAGUAACACGUGGAUAACCUGCCUUGAAGACUGGGAUAACUUCUGGAAACCGCAGCUAAUACCGGAUAAGAUAUUGAACCGCAUUGUUAAUGAGUGAAAGACGUUUUUGCUGUCACGGAUAGAUGGAUACGCGCCUCAUUAGCUAGUUGGUAAGGUAACGACUUACCAAAGCAACGAUGCUUAGCCUCCAUGAGAGGGAGAGCUGGCACACUGGAAGUGAGGCACGGCCCACACUUCUAGGGGGGGAAGCAGUAGGGAAUCUUACGGAAUGGACGAGAGCCUGACAGAGCAACGCGGCGUGAGCGAUGAAGGACCUCGGAUGGUAAAACGAUGAUAGUAGGGAAGAAAAAAGGUGUAAGUAAGAAUGAACAUAAUGACGGUACCUAAUCAGAAAGCGACGGCUAACUACGUG